GACGAACGCUGGCGGCGUGCUUAACACAUGCAAGUCGAACGGAAAGGCCCUGCUUUUGUGGGGUGCUCGAGUGGCGAACGGGUGAGUAACACGUGAGUAACCUGCCCUUGACUUUGGGAUAACUUCAGGAAACUGGGGCUAAUACCGGAUAGGAGCUCCUGCUGCAUGGUGGGGGUUGGAAAGUUUCGGCGGUUGGGGAUGGACUCGCGGCUUAUCAGCUUGUUGGUGGGGUAGUGGCUUACCAAGGCUUUGACGGGUAGCCGGCCUGAGAGGGUGACCGGCCACAUUGGGACUGAGAUACGGCCCAGACUCUUACGGGAGGCAGCAGUGGGGAAUAUUGCACAAUGGGCGGAAGCCUGAUGUAGCAACGCCGCGUGCGGGAUGACGGCCUUCGGGUUGUAAACCGCUUUCGCCUGUGACGAAGCGUGAGUGACGGUAAUGGGUAAAGAAGCACCGGCUAACUACGUG
rnacentral:rRNA from 1 species